GCUGGAUUCGCUAGUAAUCGCGCAUCAGCCAUGGCGCGGUGAAUACGUUCCCGGGCCUUGUACGCACCGCCCGUCAAGCCAUGGAAGCCGGGGGUGCCUGAAGUGUGCAGCCGCAAGGAGCGCCCUAAGGUAAAACCGGUGACUGGGGCUAAGUCGUAACAAGGUAAC
rnacentral:rRNA from 1 species